UACAGAGGUCUCAAGCGUUGUUCGGAUUCAUUGGGCGUAAAGGGUGCGUAGGCGGUUCGCUAAGUUGGAUGUGAAAACUCUGGGCUUAACCCAGAGCCUGCAUCCAAUACUGACGAGCUAGAGUUCUGGAGGGGGUAGCGGAAUUCCUGGUGUAGCGGUGAAAUGCGUAGAUAUCAGGAGGAACACCGGUGGCGAAGGCGGCUACCUGGACAGAGUCUGACGCUGAGGCACGAAAGCUAGGGGAGCAAACAGG
rnacentral:rRNA from 1 species